GCUGACACCUCCUCAACCCUGCCAACCAUUUUAACCAUGGGGAAAUAUAACAUACACACAGAGCAUUCUGGACAUUUUGUAAAAUAUCUUCUAUGUUCCACCGAAGAAAGCAAAUCAUGCAUGUUUGGAACGACACAAGGGUGCUGAUUGGUUUUGAGGAACUGUAAUGUUGAUCUGCUAGAUUUUAGGGUCUGGAAUUGCAUUGCUAAUCUCAAAGGGGUAGAGAGUGAUGAAUGGAGGAGAGGAAGGUAGGAAAGCCCAGUCAGGGAAUCCUAAUGACAUUAUUGAUUGUGACACAGACAUGUAUAAGAGCCCGACAUCACAGUACGCCAUCACAGUUCAUCUCCAAAACAGAGAGGAACAAAUUGCCCACAAAU